rnacentral:rRNA from 1 species
GCUCCAAUAGCGUAUAUUAAAGUUGUUGCAGUUAAAAAGCUUGUAGUUGAAACUUAGGUCUAGCUAGCAGGUCCGCCUCACCGCGUGUACUUGUUCGGCUGGGCCUUCCUUCUAGAGAACCUUAUGCCCUUUACUAGGCGUGUUAGGGACCAGGACUUUUACUUUAAAAAAAUUAGAGUGUUUAAAGUAGGCCUUUGCUCGAAUACGUUAGCAUAGAAUAAUAGAAUAGGACGUGCGGUCCUAUUUUGUUAGUUUCUAGGACCGCUGUAAUAAUUAAUAGGGACAGUUGGGGGCAUUAGUAUUCAAUUGUUAGAGGUGAAAUUCUUAGAUUUAUUAAAGACUAACUACUGCGAAAGCAUUUGCUAAGGAUGUUUUUAUUAAUUAGUGAACGAAAGUUAGGGGAUCAAAGACAAUUAGAUACUGUUGUAGUCUUAACUGUAAACUAUGCCAACUAGGGAUUGGGCGAUGUUCUUUUUCUGACUCGCUUGGCACCUUACAAGAAAUUAAAGUUUUUGGGUUCUGGGGGGAGUAUAGUCGCAAGGCUAAAACUUAAAGAAAUUGAUAGAAGGGCACUACUAGGCGUGGAGCCUGCGGCUUAAUUCGACUCAAC